GGGAGUUCUGCACAGCCUGAGCACACCCAGCAUCUGUGCAGAGAUGGUACAAGGACAGAAUGAUGCAGGGAAACCUCUUAGGUGACCAAACCGUGACUGAAGCAUUCUUCCAUGGGUGCUGGGGACCAUUCCAGCCUUUUGAUUUCCCAUAAUACAUAUGGAUCCUGAGACCUUACCAGAGGUUUUGUCCCUAUUCUACCAAAUUUGAGGAUGAAUAAAUGCUUCAGGUCAGUAAACAAUGUCUCCACACAGUAUCCUUUGUGAAA